rnacentral:rRNA from 1 species
AUGAACGCUGGCGGCGUGCCUAAUACAUGCAAGUCGAGCGAACGGACGAGAAGCUUGCUUCUCUGAUGUUAGCGGCGGACGGGUAAGUAACACGUGGAUAACCUACCUAUAAGACUGGGAUAACUUCGGGAAACCGGAGCUAAUACCGGAUAAUAUUCUGAACCGCAUGGUUCAAAAGUGAAAGACGGUCUUGCUGUCACUUAUAGAUGGAUCCGCGCUGCAUUAGCUAGUUGGUAAGGUAACGGCUUACCAAGGCAACGAUGCAUAGCCGACCUGAGAGGGUGAUCGGCCACACUGGAACUGAGACACGGUCCAGACUCCUACGGGAGGCAGCAGUAGGGAAUCUUCCGCAAUGGGCGAAAGCCUGACGGAGCAACGCCGCGUGAGUGAUGAAGGUCUUCGGAUCGUAAAACUCUGUUAUUAGGGAAGAACAUAUGUGUAAGUAACUGUGCACAUCUUGACGGUACCUAAUCAGAAAGCCACAGCUAACUACGUG